UUCGGUGGUUUCUCUUUUGAAGCUAAUAAUAAUCCAUGAAUUGCUUUCCCUCAAUUCACCUACAGUUUCCAUUUCAUUUCAGUUUGAUUUCGUUAUACGUUUACCUGUGGGAAGAUUGGAAGCUUUGAUUUCAAGAUACUCUCCAUGUCGAAGAGGAUUCUUUGCAAGUUCUAUGCACAUGGAGCAUGUUUGAAAGGGGAACACUGUGAAUUUUCUCAUGACUGGAAGGACCAACCAAACAAUAUAUGCACCUUCUAUCAGAGAGGAGUGUGCUCUUAUGGUAGUCGAUGCAGGUAUGAUCAUGUUAAAGUUUCUCGUCCGCAAACUUCAGUUUCAUCAUCGUCAACAAAUUCUCGCCAGAACCUAGCUUCCAAUUUUGUUGAAGUGACUCAUCCUUCUAGAACUUCCUUGAGUGGGGAAACAACUAAAGUCCCUAGUGUUCCAACAGAGCUAUCAGCUUUGAGCAGACCUUUCUUUCCUCCCUAUAGACCUGCAUGGAUUCAAGACACUGGAGAUCAUAACUUCUUUUAUGAUGGGAAUGGUGGGGACUCCACAAUCACUCAACCUGUUGAUCGGCCUAUAUGUUCAUUUGCUGCUGCUGGUAUCUGUCCUCGUGGGGAAAAAUGCCCACAUAUUCAUGGGGACUUAUGUGCCACGUGUGGAAAACAUUGCUUGAAUCCAUAUAGACCUGAUGAAAGAGAUGAGCACAUAAUAACAUGUGAAAGAAAGAAAAGACACCUUGAGGCAUUGAAACAUAGUCAAGAAAUAGAGUGCAAUGUGUGUUUAGAUCGUGUGCUUUCAAAGCCUACUGCUGCUGAACGGAAGUUUGGGUUGCUAUCAGAGUGUGAUCAUCCCUUCUGCAUAUCCUGUAUAAGAAAUUGGCGUAGUAGUUCCCCGUCCUCUGGCAUGGAUGUUAAUACUGCACUGAGGGCCUGCCCAAUAUGCCGCAAGCUUUCAUACUUUGUUAUUCCAAGUGUAAUUUGGUAUUCAACAAAGGAAGAAAAGCAGGAGAUCAUUGACAGCUAUAAAGAAAAACUCAGGUCUAUUGACUGCAGGUACUUUGACUUCGGAAAUGGGACAUGCCCCUUUGGGACUAGUUGUUUCUACAAGCAUGCUUAUCGUGAUGGCCGCCUGGAAGAAGUUGUUCUGCGACAUCUUGGAGCUGAAGAUGGAGACACUGUAAUUGCUAAAGAUAUAAGGCUUUCUGAUUUCCUUAGUAAUUUGCGUCUAAGGUGAAGAGAACUACCGAAUAAAGCUUCCAAGUUUUUUAAUUUUUAUUGCAGACAUGUACAACUUGGAGUGCCUAAAAUAUCUAUUUUGCCCUUGUUGCACUCCACUAAUACAGAAGAAUUUGCUUGCUGGGGACCCAAAAGGUGGAUUCACAACAGGGCAUAGUCAACUGUAGUAAUAAACACCUUUCACUAUACACACAGGUGGUUAGGGAAGAAACAGAUAAACAAAAUGGAUGGUAAUAUUGAGGUUCAAGUUCUUGAGACUUUCCAUUUGGCUCAUUGUUUCAUGGAUCCCCAAUGAUAACAUCCUUCAAAGGGUUGUCAAUAAUGAGUGAUGAACGGUUGUGCAUUUACGCAGUUAUGUCCUGCCCAUCAUUAUUACAUCAAAACUGUAUAUAAAUGGGUAUAUAUGGAUUUUCUCUUAAAAUAGUGGUAAAUUUCCAUAAUUAUGCUUAUGAUGAGAUAAUCUGGGGAAAAAACUUUCGAAUUUUGUAUGUA